GGUAAGAGAUGAAUGGGUCACAAUGAUCAGAUUAUUACCAAAUUAUUAUACAUGGUGUUAUCCAGCAUGUAGAGAAUGCCACUCAAGAUCAUGUCUCAUCAAUUCAGUUUAUGAAUGCACCAAAGAUGAUUGCAACUGCAUGUCAAUUAAGUACAGAUCCCAAAUAUCAGAAAUCAACUAAUCAACCAGACACAAGGAGAGAAAAAGGAAAAUAAAGCCUGACCAGGCCAAUCUACAGCUUCCAUUAGCAAAACUUCUGGAAGAAACUGAUGAUCAUAUUACACACGUUCAAGUAACAAGCUGCAAGGCUGGUCGAUGGUCAAUGGCAAGCAAAACAUCCUUGCAAACCUGCAUGAUCUCAUUCUUCAUGUGCUACAUUAGGAUUUUCAGAGUUAUUCUGUUGUGGUCAACAGACAGAAAAUGCCUAGUAGGAGCUAUACCAUGUUACCUGCUUGGACCACGACAUGCGAGAGAAUAGACAGAGGGACAAACUGUACGAGAUUAUGGAAUAUUUCUUUCUCAAUAUUUCCUAGCAACCCAAAUUUAAUUUUGUUACUAUCGAUAGAUAUGUAUCUGGGCACAUGGUAUUCAUGCUGGCCAAUCGAGGCCGAAGCGCGGCAACGCCGCGUGUUAAUUCUAGUAAUUAUGAAUCUUAAGUCCAACAUCCAUUGCGUAGACAACAGAGUUAUGAUUGCCAAAGUACAAGAAAUUAAAUACCGAUUAUUUGA